UGUGCCUUCAACAGGAGCUAUGGAUCAAGCGUGCUCCAGACCAAAGGCACUCAGUCCUCCAGCUCGGAGCCGUGUGCUGCCAUUUCCCCUCCAUUUGUUUCUAUGGAGCUGACUGUGUGUGCGGUCAUCCAUAAGGGUGCUGAGAUACCCUGGAGAGAGGAGGAAUAGCUGCAGCUAUUUUUCAUUAUUAUAUACUUCACUUCGUAAUAAAUGAGAUCCAUAGCAUGUGAGCGCCGCUCUUGUAGAUCAUCGUAUCAGCAAGCACGAGGAACCUUGUGUGCCACAAAGCUAAAUAAAAUAAAGUGUCUUUGGGAUAACAGGGACCAGCAAACAACUUGUGACCCAAGAGGGAAAUAGCAGCAGCAGCAACUGGGCUCUUCUCCAAAGCUCAUGAUGAUGAUUCUGUGUUCAACACCUUCCUGAGAAAAACAAGAUUUCUGCAUGGAAGGAGGAUGAGUACUCAGACACACACCUGAAUUCUGCAGCAACAGGCGCUUCUGGGCACAUUAGUCUAGAUUUAGACCUCGAUUUACCCCAAGGAGGAGAUGCCCAAGAAAUUCUUCCUGGGACCUCCUGAUAUUUGUGGCUUUUCAGAGCUAAGGAGAAGUGAAGUUCAAAGUGCUGACAGCACUGCCUCACCAUCCAUCUCGGGCACAACUCCUUCUUCAAGUUUCCUACCUGUAUCAGCCAAAUAGAGAUUCAAACCAAGGUUUUAGCUGGAAAAUCCCAGAAAUGCAAAUUAUCUCAGCCUUCUACUUCUUCCAGUGUGUCUUUAUGGGCCCAAAGUCAGUCUCUACCCUGCAGAAAUACAGGCAUUUCCCUGUGAUUCCACGUCCAGGACUGGUCAGUAUAAAGCAAAUAAAUGACACUCAUGGAUGCUGGAUCGUGUGUCACCUUGUCUGUUGUGCCUCCAGAUUUGCUGAGAAUGUCACCAUGAAUGUCCAUUGGCAAACUGGAUAAGAAAGAGUGUCACAGUGCAGGACAACCUAGAAGAUGACAGGUAUUUCCAGGCAUAGCAAUGAUGAGAUCAAAUUCCCCUCAACCUGCCUUGUUUGCUGAUCUUUUAAUCAGAUUCAACUUCACUGCAGCUACAGCACAAGGUUCCCUGACAAUGUAUGACAGCAUGUGACAGAAAAAUAUUUUGAUUUUUUUUUUCUUUUUUGGUCAUUUGAUGCUAUUUGAGAUAAAUCUGAAGCCCCAGCAGCAUCUGAUAAAUCUACCAGACUACUUUAGUGGAGGUUUUUGACUAUACAUAAUUGAACUGGAGGGUCUGGGGUUUGUGUUCAUGUGUUUGUAGUGGAAUCCAAACAGGAAAGCUGGGAAAUGAUCUAAACCCUUUGAGGUUAACCUGCCAUGAAAUAGCAUCAAUGACAGAAGAGGACAUUAUUAAAAAGGAGCCAACCUUGCUCAAAAAGAACCACUUUAUGAAGCCAGACCCAAAGAGCAACACCCAGGGCUGUUUGUGGUCCCACAGGGAGAGGUAUUUCAUCCCCCAUCUUCAUCUCUCCAAAUUUCCUCUGAAUGGCUUCUGAGCUGAAUUCUUCAGAAAGAAAAACACCAGCAAAUUUUGAAUGGGACUUGUCAGCCUUUCCCCUACAAUCUGCUUCGUAUUCCUCUCACACCCAUGCUCUUGCAGUGUCUUGGGGAAAUGCUUGGAUCACAGAUAAGAGAGAACAAGGAAAGGAAUGAAGGAAGAAACAAACAACAAAACAAAAUCAGCACCCUCCAAACUUCUUGAUGAAACUCCUCUGCGAAUUGUGUGUAAGGUUAGAGCAAAGUUAAAACUGCCUUCUUCUUCACCAGUACUUAAUUCCUGCUUUUAAAAUCAGGCUUCCUUUGAUCUUGAGGGCUGAAAUGAUCUGGAAAUGAAACAGCCAGUGCUUUGCAGAAAAUCUGGAGAGGGUCCCAGACAUGGCUUUUACCUGGAAGGCUUCCAAAACAGGAUGAAAUCUCUCUGGUUUCAGAACAAAUUGCAAGAUUUUUUUCUCUAUGUCUAGUCCAACUGUGGAACUCCAGCCCUGAUGUCUGUUGCUUCCCAAAGCACAGAUGUAAUAACCUCUGAGGUGAAAUGAGAACGUUAUUCCCUCAUCUUCUCCCCUCUGCCUCCCCUCCGAGGGUUGAGGGCUGAGAGAAUUUUAUUAAAGUGAAGGCUUAAAGUUUUGGGCAGACUUAAUCUGAGGAGACAGUUGGUUAUAACCCAGGCUAGGGCCAUCCAUGUGAAGGCUGGAGAGGACAGAGCACCAGGAGCAUCUGUGACAUCUGGAUCCUGUUGAAAGCUCAGAAAUAUCUGCCUGGCUUCACGUGACCUGGCCUCAGAGCCAAAAGGGCUGAGAAAUGUGGUUAAGAGACUGCAGCAAGCUCUGCCCUAGCAAAUGAGUCCCACUGAGAAAGCAAGCACAUCAAUAUUUCUUUGAGUCUGCUUCUUUUAGUGAAUAUAUUUCCAUAUGUUGCAUUAAUAUUUCUUUUAUUGGGGCUUGUAAGUCCAUCUGGUAUUUGUAUUGGGAGGGCUUGAGCUGGCAGAUCCCUGUGCUGCUGUUACACACAGAUCUGGACAGCCCUUGCAAGGGUAGGUGGUUGGAUAGGGACAACAUCUCCUCAGCUGCCUUUUUAAUUGGAUGAACUUCUCAAAUCAAUCAAGAUAACCUGGUUACUUAUGUCAAUUAGAUCCCACUGUGGCAGUGUUACAAGUAUAAGUAUGGGCUGAGUAUAAGGUAUAGCAGUUCACCGUAAAGAAACCCCUCAGACACUGUACAGUGUAAUAACCCUGAUCUAGGAGGCGUAAAGAAGGAAAGAUACCUGGUCAUCAAUAUUAAACAAAUAAAUGUGCUGAAAUACCACAGUUUGCCAAGACAAUAAGAAUCACUUUCCUUUGCAUGCAUUAUUAAGGAAUUGGGGAAUAAUUAUCUUCUUUAAUACAAGCUUUUUCCUUCUGCAUGAUUAACUUCAGUGAUAUCAACAGAGAGUGUGAUGACUCUGAAAUGACAGCUCCUGGUAGCACGUUCUGGGAUUAGCAAAAACAGGUUGUCACUUUACCCCAGUCAGGAUCAGGCAGUCUCUGUGUGCCGAGUGCUGGACAGCAGAGGCACUUUCUGCACCAGACAUCUGACAGCCCAAGUGGGCAGCAGGUCCUGCCUCCUGCCAGGUGGCUCCCAGGUCGGGCAUGCAGGGCUCUGCUCCUGCAGGAGACUGGAUUUCCUGAGGCAGCGCAGUGUGAUUUUGGCUGUGCAGCUUCCAGACUGAAAGCACUCCAUGCUCCUCGUGCUACGCUGUGACUGUGUUCUUUGCACAAUGCACUGAGCUGAUUUUAAAAUAGUGUGUACUUUUAAAAUGCCUGCCUCUAAUGCCAGUCCUGUGUCUGGCUGCUCAAUGUGCAGAGUGACAGCACACGCACCAGCCCCUGGAGGGGAUGGAGAGAGGUAGGACAAACACACCAGAGCUCUGAGCAAUGGCAUGAAACAACAAAAAAAAUCCUUUCAUUCUUACUAAAGUUGAAAAAAGUCUGUCGUGGCUUCUGUAGAAAUUAAUCGAUAUAUGGAAAAAUGCAUAAUAACUGUGGGGGCAGCAAGAAUCUCUCCAUAAAUUAAAAUAUUGUGAGCUCCUAGAGCUAACUGGGAAAAGCACUGGGGUUACUAGCAAGGCUCUGGAGCCAAGGCAGAGUCCAUGGAAUUGGAUCCUUCACUAGAGUCCAUAUUUUGUCAAUGUCAGGAUACAUAAGAACUGUGAAACAAAGCAAAUUGUAUGUAUGGAUGGAAACUAGAAAUUUAGUCCUGCAUCACAUUCCUUUGAAAAAUUCAUAAUAAUUAAAAAAAAAAAGAUGAAAUGCCCAUAUAUUUUUAAGAGAAAUAGGAGGUGAAAAGAUUAAUUCUCAAAAUCUGUGAAAUAUACAGUGAUGAGUUACUGAGGUUUGCAGUGAGGGGGGUGUUUUUGUAAUUCUGUAGGCAUCUCAGUCCUCUGGUGAAAUGAUGUAUGGGGCAAUCGUCUGGUAGGGGCUGAUGGGAUGUAAAUGAAACUAAUUAAGGAAAUGUCAAACAUAAUUAAUAAAACAGGUUUAAGUUGCAAAA